GACAAGGCUUGGCAGGAAGACAAGUAAUAUAGAGCAGUGAUUGGCUGGUGGCCGCAGUGCUCCUGGAGACGCCGAGGUGGAAGUGCUGCCGGUCGUCUCUCUCACCUGACAGACGUUGAUCUUUAAAGAUGAUGGAUCCAAUUGGUUGUGUCGCUGUCGUGCUGCAGACCAGUUUGCUGCAUCAAUGGUCGUCAGCGUGGGUCACCUUAUUGGCUGAGGAUGAUGACUUAAAGAUGAAGGAUCCAACAAAUGACCCGAGAGUUUUCUGGUGAACGGGCUCUUACUGCACGGCCCUACACUAGUCCAGGAAAUAUUAUUCUGGACUUUGGUUGGUGGUUACCACCAAGCUGGACUGCCUACUGCUGCCCUGGACCUUGUCCUGGGCUGGACUACCUGCUGCUGCCGCCGCCGCCCUGGACUACCUGCUGCUGCCGCCGCCCUGGACUACCUGCUGCC